AUUGAACGCUGGCGGCAUGCCUUACACAUGCAAGUCGAACGGCAGCACGGGGGCAACCCUGGUGGCGAGUGGCGAACGGGUGAGUAAUGCAUCGGAACGUGCCCAGUAGUGGGGGAGUAACUAGUCGAAAGAUUAGCUAAUACCGCAUACGACCUAUGGGUGAAAGCGGGGGAUUCGCAAGAACCUCGCGCUAUCGGAGCGGCCGAUGUCUGAUUAGCUAG
rnacentral:rRNA from 1 species